UGAGGAAUAUUGGUCAAUGGGCGAGAGCCUGAACCAGCCAAGUAGCGUGCAGGAUGACGGCCCUAUGGGUUGUAAACUGCUUUUAUAUGGGAAUAAAGUGAGGGACGUGUCCCUUAUUGCAUGUACCAUACGAAUAAGGACCGGCUAAUUCCGUGCCAGCAGCCGCGGUAUUACGGAAGGUCCAGGCGUUAUCCGGAUUUAUUGGGUUUAAAGGGAGCGUAGGCGGCCUGUUAAGCGUGUUGUGAAAUGUAGAUGCUCAACAUCUGAACUGCAGCGGGAACUGGCUGGCUUGAGUACACGCAACGUGGGGGGAAUUCAUGGUGUAGCGGUGAAAUGCUUAGAUAUCAUGAGGAACUCCUAUUGCGAAAGCAGCUCACGGGAGUGUCACUGACGCUUAAGCUCGAAGGUGCGGGUAUCAAACAGG
rnacentral:rRNA from 1 species